GAGCACGUAGGUGGGUUUGUAAGUCAGAUGUGAAAGCCUUCUGUUCAACGGAAGAAUUGCAUCUGAAACUACAAACCUUGAGUAUAGGAGGGGAGAGUGGAACUUCUGGUGGAGCGGUGAAAUGCGUAGAUAUCAGAAGGAACGCCGGCGGCGAAAGCGAUUCUCUGGCCUAUUACUGACACUCAGUGUGCGAAAGCUAGGGGAGCAAACGGGAUUAGAUACCCCGGUAGUCCUAGCCGUAAACGAUGGGCACUAAGUAGAGGGGUUUU
rnacentral:rRNA from 1 species